rnacentral:rRNA from 1 species
GAAACUUCGUUCCCUCCUGAGUGGAUCCUGAGUACGGCCGGACACGUGAAAUCCGGUCGGAAGCAGGGAGGACCAUCUCCCAAGGCUAAAUACUCCCUAGUGACCGAUAGUGAACCAGUACCGUGAGGGAAAGGUGAAAAGCACCCCGGAAGGGGAGUGAAAUAGUUCCUGAAACCGUGUGCCUACAAGUAGUUAGAGCCCGUUAAUGGGUGAUAGCGUGCCUUUUGUAGAAUGAACCGGCGAGUUACGAUUACAUGCAAGGUUAAGUUGAAGAGACGGAGCCGCAGCGAAAGCGAGUCUGAAUAGGGCGAAUGAGUAUGUGGUCGUAGACCCGAAACCAGGUGAUCUACCCAUGUCCAGGGUGAAGUCCAGGUAACACUGGAUGGAGGCCCGAACCCACGCACGUUGAAAAGUGCGGGGAUGAGGUGUGGGUAGCGGAGAAAUUCCAAUCGAACUUGGAGAUAGCUGGUUCUCUCCGAAAUAGCUUUAGGGCUAGCCUCACGUAGUAAGAGUCUUGGAGGUAGAGCACUGUUUGGACUAGGGGCCCUCAUCGGGUUACCGAAUUCAGACAAACUCCGAAUGCCAAAGACUUAUCCGUGGGAGUCAGACUGCGAGUGAUAAGAUCCGUAGUCAAAAGGGAAACAGCCCAGACCACCAGCUAAGGUCCCAAAGUAUACGUUAAGUGGAAAAGGAUGUGGAGUUGCUUAGACAACCAGGAUGUUGGCUUAGAAGCAGCCACCAUUUAAAGAGUGCGUAAUAGCUCACUGGUCGAGUGACUCUGCGCCGAAAAUGUACCGGGGCUAAACGUAUCACCGAAGCUGUGGAUUGACAUCUUAGAUGUCAGUGGUAGGAGAGCGUUCUAAGGGCGUUGAAGCUAGACCGUAAGGACUGGUGGAGCGCUUAGAAGUGAGAAUGCCGGUAUGAGUAGCGAAAGAUGAGUGAGAAUCUCAUCCACCGAAUGCCUAAGGUUUCCUGAGGAAGGCUCGUCCGCUCAGGGUUAGUCGGGACCUAAGCCGAGGCCGAAAGGCGUAGGCGAUGGACAACAGGUUGAUAUUCCUGUACCACCUCUUUAUCGUUUGAGUGAUGGGGGGACGCAGGAGGAUAGGGUAAGCGCACUGCUGGAUAUGUGCGUGUAAGCAGUUAGGCUGGUGAAUAGGAAAAUCCGUUCACCG